UACGUAGGGGGCAAGCGUUGUCCGGAAUCAUUGGGCGUAAAGAGCUCGUAGGCGGUGUGUCGCGUCGGUCGUGAAAACUUGGGGCUUAACCCUGAGCUUGCGGUCGAUACGGGCAUCACUGGAGUUCGGCAGGGGAGACUGGAAUUCCUGGUGUAGCGGUGAAAUGCGCAGAUAUCGGAAGGAACAUCAGUGGCGAAAGCGACUUCCUGGACCAAUACUGACGCUCAUGUGCGAAAGCGUGGGGAGCAAACAGG
rnacentral:rRNA from 1 species